GCCCUGCAACUCUGGCUCAUCGGGAUAACAGUAAACAGCCAGUGGAGUUGGCUCUGCAUGGAUACGCUGAGCUGAAUUUGGAGCAAACACCAGCCCCUGUGCUGUAUGUAAUUAGAAGAUGCUUCCGGUGGGUGAGAUGCUGGAGGAGUGCUUUGGCCAUGUCAAACCACAGUCUCUCUCCAGAUUCAAAUCCACAACACCAGCAACUUUAGAGCGCUCUUGGAGAGAAGCCACAGGAACUGCUCCAUGUUACCCUCAGCACUAGGCUUCAUUUGGUACCUGGCACUACUCCCAUGGAAGUCAACUGGAAGAGGCCAACAGACUUCCCUGAAAGGCAUUUUGAGAAUGGUGCAUGCCUCCUAUCCUACCCACAGCACUGCGUGAGGAACCACGAUGGGAAAUGCAGCCAGAACACACCAUUUUGCUGCCCUGGGUCCCCCAGUCCGUGCUCCUCACCUGUUGCAGGCAAUGUGGGUUCCCU
rnacentral:lncRNA from 1 species